rnacentral:rRNA from 1 species
GGGUUGUGAGGUUAAGCGACUAAGCGUACACGGUGGAUGCCCUGGCAGUCAGAGGCGAUGAAGGACGUGCUAAUCUGCGAUAAGCGUCGGUAAGGUGAUAUGAACCGUUAUACCCGGCGAUUUCCGAAUGGGGAAACCCAGUGUGAUUCGUCACACUAUCAUUAACUGAAUCCAUAGGUUAAUGAGGCGAACCGGGGGAACUGAAACAUCUAAGUACCCCGAGGAAAAGAAAUCAACCGAGAUUCCCCCAGUAGCGGCGAGCGAACGGGGAGGAGCCCAGAGCCUGAAUCAGUUUGUGUGUUAGUGGAAGCGUCUGGAAAGGCGCGCGAUACAGGGUGACAGCCCCGUACACAAAAAUGCACAUGCUGUGAGCUCGAUGAGUAGGGCGGGACACGUGGUAUCCUGUCUGAAUAUGGGGGGACCAUCCUCCAAGGCUAAAUACUCCUGACUGACCGAUAGUGAACCAGUACCGUGAGGGAAAGGCGAAAAGAACCCCGGCGAGGGGAGUGAAAAAGAACCUGAAACCGUGUACGUACAAGCAGUGGGAGCACGCUU